rnacentral:rRNA from 1 species
CCAGUACCGUGAGGGAAAGGCGAAAAGAACCCCGGCGAGGGGAGUGAAAAAGAACCUGAAACCGUGUACGUACAAGCAGUGGGAGCACAGGUUUACCUGUGUGACUGCGUACCUUUUGUAUAAUGGGUCAGCGACUUAUAUUCUGUAGCAAGGUUAACCGUAUAGGGGAGCCGGAGGGAAACCGAGUCUUAAUUGGGCGUUAAGUUGCAGGGUAUAGACCCGAAACCCGGUGAUCUAGCCAUGGGCAGGUUGAAGGUUGGGUAACACUAACUGGAGGACCGAACCGACUAAUGUUGAAAAAUUAGCGGAUGACCUGUGGCUGGGGGUGAAAGGCCAAUCAAACCGGGAGAUAGCUGGUUCUCCCCGAAAGCUAUUUAGGUAGCGCCUCGUGAAUUCAUCUCCGGGGGUAGAGCACUGUUUCGGCUAGGGGGCCAUCCCGGCUUACCAACCCGAUGCAAACUGCGAAUACCGGAGAAUGUUAUCACGGGAGACACACGGCGGGUGCUAACGUCCGUCGUGAAGAGGGAAACAACCCAGACCGCCAGCUAAGGUCCCAAAGUCAUGGUUAAGUGGGAAACGAUGUGGGAAGGCCCAGACAGCCAGGAUGUUGGCUUAGAAGCAGCCAUCAUUUAAAGAAAGCGUAAUAGCUCACUGGUCGAGUCGGCCUGCGCGGAAGAUGUAACGGGGCUAAACCAU